AUUGAACGCUGGCGGCAUGCCUUACACAUGCAAGUCGAACGGUAACGGGCCUUCGGGUGCCGACGAGUGGCGAACGGGUGAGUAAUGCAUCGGAACGUACCUUUCAGUGGGGGAUAACGUAGCGAAAGUUACGCUAAUACCGCAUAUUCUGUGAGCAGGAAAGCAGGGGAUCGCAAGACCUUGCGCUGAUUGAGCGGCCGAUGUCAGAUUAGCUAGUUGGUGAGGUAAAGGCUCACCAAGGCGACGAUCUGUAGCGGGUCUGAGAGGAUGAUCCGCCACACUGGAACUGAGACACGGUCCAGACUCCUACGGAGGCAGCAGUGGGGAAUUUUGGACAAUGGGGGCAACCCUGAUCCAGCCAUGCCGCGUGAGUGAAGAAGGCCUUCGGGUUGUAAAGACUCUUUCUAGACGGAAAGAAAACGGACAUCGGUGAAUAACCCGGUGUGGAGUGACGGUACCGUAAGAAGAAGCACCGGCUAACUACGUGCCACGCAGCCGCGGUAACGG
rnacentral:rRNA from 1 species